rnacentral:rRNA from 1 species
AACGAACGCUGGCGGCAUGCCUAACACAUGCAAGUCGAACGAGACCUUCGGGUCUAGUGGCGCACGGGUGCGUAACGCGUGGGAACCUGCCCUUAGGUUCGGAAUAACUCCCCGAAAGGGGUGCUAAUACCGGAUAAUGUCUUCGGACCAAAGAUUUAUCGCCUUUGGAUGGGCCCGAGUUGGAUUAGCUAGUUGGUAGGGUAAAAGCCUACCAAGGCGACGAUCCAUAGCUGGUCUGAGAGGAUGAUCAGCCACACUGGGAAUGAGACACGGCCCAGACUCCUACGGGAGGCAGCAGUGGGGAAUAUUGGACAAUGGGCGAAAGCCUGAUCCAGCAAUGCCGCGUGAGUGAUGAAGGCCUUAGGGUUGUAAAGCUCUUUUACCCGGGAUGAUAAUGACAGUACCGGGAGAAUAAGCGCCGGCUAACUCCGUG